GUGAAUCAUCAAAUUUUUGAACGCAAAUUGCACUCUCUGGUAUUCCGGAGAGUAUGCCUGUUUGAGGGUCAGUUUAAAUAAAAAUCGGAGUGGUUGCUGCCUUUCGUGGUGACGUACAGGAUUUGGGUCGUCUUGCAUCUGGUUAUGAGAAUUAAAAUUUUGCAUGAUUUUUUCGAACGUAUUUAAAUGAUUUUAAGUAAGUUUGAGAUAUCGAAUAUUAGGUGCGGUUAUCAUCUUGUUCC
rnacentral:misc_RNA from 1 species